GUGCUCGCCUCAGCAACACAUAUACUGAAACUGGAACGAUACAGAGGAGAUUAGCAUGGCCUCCGCACAAGGAUGACAUGCAAAUUCGUGGAGCGUUCCAUAUUAAA
ensembl:snRNA U6 U6 spliceosomal RNA